GACGAACGCUGGCGGCGUGCUUAACACAUGCAAGUCGAACGGAAAGGCCCUGCUUUUGUGGGGUGCUCGAGUGGCGUGCGGGUGAGUAACACGUGAGUAACCUGCCCUUGACUUUGGGAUAACUUCAGGAAACUGGGGCUAAUACCGGAUAGGAGCUCCUGCUGCAUGGUGGGGGUUGGAAAGUUUCGGCGGUUGGGGAUGGACUCGCGGCUUAUCAGCUUGUUGGUGGGGUAGUGGCUUACCAAGGCUUUGACGGGUAGCCGGCCUGAGAGGGUGACCGGCCACAUUGGGACUGAGAUACGGCCCAGACUCCUACGGGAGGCAGCAGUGGGGAAUAUUGCACAAUGGGCGGAAGCCUGAUGCAGCAACGCCGCGUGCGGGAUGACGGCCUUCGGGUUGUAAACCGCUUUCGCCUGUGACGAAGCGUGAGUGACGGUAAUGGGUAAAGAAGCACCGGCUAACUACGUG
rnacentral:rRNA from 1 species